GAUGUACUCCCUCCGUUCCAAAUUACUCGUCGCAGAAAUGGAUGUAUCUAGAACUAAAAUACAUCUAGAUACAUCCAUACCUGCGACGAGUAAUUCGGAACGGAGGGAGUACUAU
rnacentral:pre_miRNA from 1 species